rnacentral:rRNA from 1 species
CCUACGGGAGGCAGCAGUGGGGGAUAUUGCACAAUGGGGGAAACCCUGAUGCAGCGACGCCGCGUGAGUGAAGAAGUAUUUCGGUAUGUAAAGCUCUGUCAGAAGGGAAGAAAAUGACAGUACCUGACAAAGAAGCCCCGGCUAACUACGUGCCAGCAGCCGCGGUAAUACGGAGGGGGCAAGCGUUAUCCGGAUUUACUGGGUGGAAAGGGAGCGUAGACGGUUAUGUAAGUCUGGAGUGAAAGCCCUGGGCCCAACCCAGGGACUGCUUUGGAAACUGUGUAACUGGAGUACAGGAGGGGCAGGCGGAAUUCCUGGUGUAGCGGUGAAAGGCGUAGAUAUUAGGAGGAACACCGGCGGCGAAGGCGGCCUGCUGGACUUAUACUGACGUUGAGGCUCGAAAGCGUGGGGAGCAAACAGGAUUAGAUACCCCUGUAGUC